GGGGUGCAGGCGGAGUUUUGAGCGCCUGGCGGGAAAGAGAUGGUCCUUGAGCAUCUCCACCUCGGUGCUUUCAUUUUUGCCGAGUUUCCUGGCCCCGUGCUCGUCUUGGGUGAAUUUUAACCAGUGUCUGCUGAAUAGCCGGUGUGUCCAUCGCUGCGUGACUUGUAUGAAGUCAUCCUCAUCCUCAUCACAGCUGAACUGCUGGAGGACUGUGUCUGACGGGCUUUCAGCUGGAUCACCCUCGGCCUGCUUCCUGAGGCUUCGAAGGGCAACAAGACGGUGAUGUAUUGCUGCGUACAGAUAGCCUAUGUCUUUGGCACUGGCCUUUGUGAGAAAAGUUAAGUUGUUAAGACUAUAAGUAAUGGAUAAAUGUAGCCAUGUUUACCUCUUUCUCUCUCACUGUUUAUAAAGGAAGGAAUUGUACUACAUAAAUCUGGAAAGUAAAUAAAUGCCAGUAGCCCAACAUGUUCAAAAGUAAAGCUGAUUCAUUUUACACCAAAUUGUAUCCCAAAGUGAAGUAAUGUUAUGAGAUGUCAAUCCAUGCAUUUUUUAAAUUAAGCAAAUGCAAUUUUGUAAUUGAAGAAUCCUGUUUGAAGUGAAACCGUUAAGAUGAUUCUUACUUGGCUACCUUCUGCUGUAGAACAGCGUAGACCUAGAGGAAAGCCCUACAGCUUCUUCCCAUCACUUUGCUUAUCCACCCUCCGACCCACACAGCUUUGUGGAGAAGCAAAGCUCCCGAGGAAUCGGUGACAUUUUCAGACAUCACACUUCUCAAAACUUCUCCAAGCUAAGUUUUGGUUGUCAAUAAAAUAAAAAUGCUGGCAGCGUAGCUGAAUACUGGUACAGCACUGGCUGUUGUGUUUGUAUUCAUCUACAUUAGCAAAAACGAGUAGUACACAUAUACUCAUCCCUCUUCCCUUUACAAAAGAGAAACCUAUAGCUGAGAAAAAGAAAGGGACAUGUCUAUGUUACAACCGUAAAGCACUCAUUUACAUUAAAAAAUUACUGUUUUGUCAUCAUUUUAACUGUUUAAUCUCAGCAGUUUUAUAAAGUAUAUUAUUGUUGCCUUCAUUUUGCAUGUAAGUCAGUUUAAUGAAAGCUAAGUGAUUUGGAGGUCAUAUAAUUGUACAAUGGCACAUAUGUAUGGAUAUGUACACAUUUAGCUUUUCCUGAUUUUGUAAUAUUUACACAUACAUAAUAAGAUCUUUUGUGGGUGUAGCCCAAAUCUAACCAAAGAAUGUAUUUAUGCUUCAUCUAUACAUAGCCUAUAGGAAAUUUUUUACAAUAUUUUAGUGUGCCUGGGUGUUGGCUGGGACCCAAUCAUACAAAGAUGUGGAAAUUUCCAUGUUGAAACUCAAAAAAUGUUGGAGUUGGGAGCAUUUUGGAUUUCAAAUUUUUAAAUCUGGGAUGCUUAACCUAUUUGUGUAAGACUAAAAUGUUGAUAGUGAUCACAACAGAUGGUCUGUAUUGUAUUUCCUUUGUUGGUCACUUGCGAAUGUACCACAAUUUAAAAGCCAGUGGGGUGGAGUAUUAUGUCCUUAAAUGAUAAAGAGGAGUUAUCAUCUUACUCUUAGGUUUUUGUUGUUGUUGUUUAUUUGUUUGUUUGGGGGGUUUUGUUGUUCUUUUGAUUCUUGUUUUUUGUUUUGUUUGUUUGUUUGUUUGUUUUGGUAUUGCUGCUGAUUGAACUUUUCCUAACACUUUAAUACUCAAAAGGUCACUUACCCCUGACAAAGCACUUUAAGUUAAUAAAAUUUGGGAGUUUUAUCACAUACCAAUUUUUUCUUGGUUAUUUAGUAGAAGUCUAUCUACUUAUAUUAUUAACUACUCCAAUAUCAUUUGUGUACUCAUAUCUUUUCAAGUCCUCCAGGUCUCAGACUAUGGAAAAACCCAGUUGCGGGUAGGAAGCUGGGGGUGGCGGGAAGAAGGCUUUGUUUGGGGCAGCUCUCUUGUGUCUGUAUCUUGUAUUUGAGGUCAGGCAUUCCUGCUGCAGGGAACAGGAAUCCUCCAUCCGUUUCCCUGGAGAUUUUCUCAUGUUCAGAAUUGGAAUUUGCUGUUGGACUGGUUGUAACAUGCUGGCCCUGUGCUUUUCCAUUCCUCACUGGCUCCUUUGCUGUGCUCACAAAGCCUCCUCUAUCUGAGUAACGGCGUUAAGCGGCUGGUUAAGAUUCUGCUGACCUCCUAGGAGCCAUUUUGACAAUGUCGUCACUGGGAACUCAUAAGCUUGUUGACAUGAUUGCCGUAGUAAAGGGAAUGAUAGGUAGUAACAUCUGAAUGUCUUAGAAUGAGGACCACCUGAUUCAUAUUGGCUUUGGUGUCAGUUUAAAUAGAUGUUAGGCCACAUUACACUGUCAAUAACCAUAAUGAGCUGCUGAUUUCUUUGCCAGUCAUGCAGAUGAUUAUAGCAAAAAUGCAAAAAAGGAAUUAGGAGUUGCAAGAAGCUAAUUAUUGUAUUAGUAGGCUGACCCCCGCAUCACUGAAAUCUGUAACUUACCUGAAUUAAAAAUACCUUUAUACCAUUGCCUUCUAAAUCAGUCGCAGUGAUUUGCAAGUUUUUGUGAUUUGCUCUUUGAACCUUCAUUUGAGUCCAGAGUCUGCUGUUGAGGACCAGCCUCAGAUUGCCUUGGUUGUGCAUGACUGUGAUGAGAAGAUAACAAGUCAGAUUAGAGUUCAUGAUGCCUUAACCUGAGAAAAAGAUCAACGUCUCUGAAGGAGGAGUUAAUCCCGCGGUUGUUUUUCAAGCUGCGUUUUCUUUCACUGCACACAAGAAAGGGCGACUGUGUUUUUGUUUCGGGCUCCUCUGCACUCAACAGAGAACUGGGCUACAGUCAGGAAGCGUUGGUUCUAACCUCAAACACCAGAGCUCACUUAUCCCAGCCUGUCCAGAUGGGUCUGGUUUUAAAGAAAGAAGAAAAGCUGGAGUAGCAGCCGUUCUCUUCGCGUCCGGUGUUUUUCAGUGAUCCCAGAGAUUCACUAUUGCUGUCUACUUCCCGGAAAAGAAAACUCUGCUAGAUAUCUCAGAGAACAGAAGGAAUCCUAAUGACUCCUCCGACAUGACUGUUUGCAAGUCAUUGUGUGUGUGUGUGUGUGUGUGUGUGUGUGUGUGUGUGUGUGUAGCAUGUGCAUGCCAAGUGUGUAAAGGUUAGAGAGCAAUUUGCAGGAAUCCGGUUUCUUCUUUCACCACGUGGUCCCUGAGACCAAACUCAGGUCACCAGGCUUGGUGGCAUCUCUAGCCCCCCAACAGUCACUUCCAAGGCUCUGCAGAUCUAAUGCCAUAAAAGCCUGUAUGGAAAAGAUUAACAACUGUGCUGCUCGUGGCCGUGUGUGCUCCCCUUGCAGAGCAGUGAACGUGGAACAGUGCCUUUGUGAACCCAAGAUUCUGCCGUGUCAUCUAGUGGGAGAUCAGUGUAGUCCCUGAAACGAGGCAAAGACGAAUCAUUUUCGGUUUAAGAAAAUAGAAACGCCAGCUCGGCAAGAUUAGUGACUCAUUCUCAAAGCUCAAGUCGGGAAUGCACUUUGACCUCCCGUAUCACAAGGCCAUAGGCUCACAAGAUUAAUUAGAGGAAACACACAAACUAUGUGGAUUGUUCCCAGGAUCCUUGGGACAUCCUCUCUGAGAGAAAUGGGAAGCUCCAGUCCUUUUUAUAAAGCCGCAUCAAAGA